rnacentral:rRNA from 1 species
GCUGGUUGCCCGCGAAACGAAUGUAAGUUCCCCCUUAAUUUUACCCCUCAGACUCUACCACUUACUCGUAGCAAAUUAAGAGCAAUUUAAAGGAGGUACAGCUCCUUUAAAACAGAACACAACCUCCCCCAGAGGAUAAGCUAAACAACCUUAAAAUUGUAGGCCUUCAAGCAGCCACCAAUAGAGAGUGCGUCAAAGCUCACUACCCUAAAAAUACCAAACCCUAUGCGACUCCCUCAUUCAUAGCGAGCUAACCUAUCAAAAAUAGGAGAAUUAAUGCUAAAAUAAGUAACUAAGGACCUGUCCUCUAAAGCACAAACUUACAUCCCACAUUAUUAACAGGCCUAUUAAUAACUCAACUACUACAAGACUAACUAUUUAGUACCCUGUUAAGCCAACCCAGGGGUGCUUAGCUAGAAAGAUUUAAACCUGUAAAAGGAAUUAGGCAAACCCAAGGCCCGACUGUUUACCAAAAACAUAGCCUUCAGCAAAACCAAGUAUUGAAGGUGAUGCCUGCCCAGUGACACCAAGUUUAACGGCCGCGGUAUCCUAACCGUGCAAAGGUAGCGCAAUCAAUUGUCCCAUAAAUCGAGACUUGUAUGAAUGGCUAAACGAGGUCUUAACUGUCUCUUGCAGGUAAUCAGUGAAAUUGAUCUCCCCGUGCAAAAGCAGGGAUAAACCCAUAAGACGAGAAGACCCUGUGGAACUUAAAAACCAGCAGCCACCUUACAAACCAAAUACACCCAACGGGCUUACCAUCAACAAAUGAUUGGCUCGCAUUUUUCGGUUGGGGCGACCUUGGAGAAAAAUGUAUCCUCCAAAGAUAAGACCACCCCUCUUGACCAAGAUCAACUACUCAAAGUGCUAAUAGUAACCAGACCCAGCACAGCUGACCAAUGAACCAAGCUACCC